rnacentral:rRNA from 1 species
GAUAAACGCUGGCGGCGCACAUAAGACAUGCAAGUUGAACGGACUUAAUCGAAAUAUUUAUAUUUUGAAGCGGUUAGUGGCGGACUGGUGAGUAACGCGUAAGGAACCUGCCUAUUAGAGGGGAAUAACAGUGAGAAAUCAUUGCUAAUACCGCAUAUGCCAUAGAUAUCACAUGAUAACAGUGGGAAAGGAGCAAUCCGCUAAUAGAUGGCCUUGCGUCUGAUUAGAUAGUUGGUGGGGUAACGGCCCACCAAGUCGACGAUCAGUAGCCGGACUGAGAGGUUGAACGGCCACAUUGGGACUGAGAUACGGCCCAGACUCCUACGGGAGGCAGCAGUCGGGAAUAUUGCGCAAUGGAGGAAACUCUGACGCAGUGACGCCGCGUAUAGGAAGAAGGUUUUCGGAUUGUAAACUAUUGUCGUUAGGGAAGAGAAAGGACAGUACCUAAAGAGGAAGCUCCGGCUAACUACGUG